rnacentral:ncRNA from 1 species
GGGAGCCCGAUGCGGGAAAUCCGCACGUCGGGUUCUGAUUGGGGCUGAUAGCACAAGGAAACGAGGCUAUCUUCUACCAACC